UACAGAGGGGGCAAGCGUUAUUCGGAAUUAUUGGGCGUAAAGGGCGCGUAGGCGGCUUGGCAAGUGGAUGGUGAAAUCCCUCGGCUUAACCGAGGAACUGCCGUCCAAACUGCUUUGCUUGAGACCGGGAGAGGUGAGUGGAAUUCCCAGUGUAGCGGUGAAAUGCGUAGAUAUUGGGAAGAACACCAGUGGCGAAGGCGGCUCACUGGACCGGUACUGACGCUGAGGCGCGAAAGCGUGGGGAGCAAACGGG
rnacentral:rRNA from 1 species